rnacentral:ncRNA from 2 species
ACCCGCAGACAGGGGCGUCCGGCAAAGCCGGGCUGAGAAGCACCCUUUGAACCUGAACCAGAUCAUGCUGGCGGAGGGAGUCGUCCGGACCAUAUC